UACGUAGGCAGCAAGCGUUGUUCGGAUUCACUGGGCGUAAAGGGUGCGUAGGCGGUUUGAUAAGUCUGAUGUGAAAUCCCGCAGCUUAACUGCGGAACUGCAUUGGAAACUGUUUGACUAGAGGAAUGGAGGGGAGACUGGAAUACUUGGUGUAGCAGUGAAAUGCGUAGAUAUCAAGUGGAACACCAGUGGCGAAGGCGAGUCUCUGGACAUUUCCUGACGCUGAGGCACGAAAGCCAGGGGAGCAAACGGG
rnacentral:rRNA from 1 species